CCUACGGGGCGCAGCAGUGGGGAAUAUUGCACAAUGGGGGAAACCCUGAUGCAGCGACGCCGCGUGAGUGAAGAAGUAAUUCGUUAUGUAAAGCUCUAUCAGCAGGGAAGAAAAUGACGGUACCUGAGUAAGAAGCCCCGGCUAACUACGUGCCAGCAGCCGCGGUAAUACGUAGGGGGCAAGCGUUAUCCGGAUUUACUGGGUGUAACGGGAGCGUAGACGGCAGUGCAAGUCUGGAGUGAAAGGGGGGGGCUCAACCCCCGGACUGCUCUGGAAACUGUACGGCUGGAGUGCAGGAGAGGUAAGUGGAAUUCCUAGUGUAGCGGUGAAAUGCGUCGAUAUUAGGAGGAACACCAGUGGCGAAGGCGGCUUACUGGACUGUAACUGACGUUGAGGCUCGAAAGCGUGGGGAGCAAACAGGAUUAGAUACCCUAGUAGUC
rnacentral:rRNA from 1 species